rnacentral:rRNA from 1 species
CUUUCCUACGGGAGGCAGCAGUAGGGAAUCUUCCACAAUGGACGAAAGUCUGAUGGAGCAACGCCGCGUGAGUGAAGAAGGGUUUCGGCUCGUAAAGCUCUGUUGGGAGUGAAGAAAGAUAGAGGUAGUAACUGGCCUUUAUUUGACGGUAAUUACUUAGAAAGUCACGGCUAACUACGUGCCAGCAGCCUCGGUAAUACUUAGGUGGCAAGCGUUGUCCGGGUUUAUUGGG